UAGUUUUAAGCACUAUUUCUUUUGCUCCUACAGAAGUAAAAGAACUGUCAAGUCAAUCAAUACACCUAUUGACUUUUUUCUGGAAAUCAAUAAAGUGAGAACAUUUGUCCUAAUGAGCAAAACACACCUGAUAAAAUAAGAGAGCAGUCUUACA
rnacentral:lncRNA from 1 species